rnacentral:ncRNA from 2 species
AAUCACGAGUUCUAACCACACAAGCCCUGGCUGGUUGGACGGCAACCCUAUUCGCGUCAUUGUGCGGGGUGCUCCAGGUGAUGAUUCGACGGACCUGAAAGACAGAUUCGUAAGCGAUGGCG